AUUAUAUUAAAUGUAUUUAUUUAUUCAAGUGCUUGUUGUAUUUUCUCAGCAUUGAUUUGCUGAGUUAAUUUGUAACUCACUGUGUUAAGUGAAAUACAAAAAAAGGAAAAAUCAUCAAAGGUUGAUACGAACAAAGAACAACGAUGUAGAAAUGCAUGCAUUUAAGUUUUUAUAUACAUUUACACAGUUCACUGAUUUUUUUUUGUUACAUUUCAUCUGUGUACCUAUAGCUACAAAAUACAAUGUUGUGCUAUACGCCUCACAAUAUAUAAUACAAAUAUAUUACAUCAUUUUGUAUAUCAAUACUGAUGAGUUUAUAUGUGUUCUUGUUGCUCAAAUUAAUAUAAUUGUAUUGACAGUUUGUUAGUGCAAAACAUAGUUAUAAAGCUAUUCUAUAUGUGACGGGUGGGAGUGGGAUAAGUGAGUCACCUGUUUCCUAGCGAGUCACUUGACACUCCCUUCAUGUGACCGGAAGAAACGCAGGUAAAUGGCACACCGCAAGUUCAUUCUUUUGUUUGAAUUAAGAGCGCGGCAAACGCAGUGGUGAGAGCACUGUUGGAAAGGGGAUUCUGCCGGUGGUGAUUUUACGUGAAGCGGUGCACCGUGCUUAAAAUACUUUUGUUCCGGUCUACAGUCUAUGCAACAGCACAGACGUA